CACUUGAGGAUGUACCACCCA
rnacentral:miRNA from 1 species